GGACUACUGGGGUAUCUAAUCCCGUUCGCUCCCCUAGCUUUCGCCCACGAGCGUCAGGUACCAGCCAGGACCCUGCCUUCGCUUUCGGUGUUCCUCCGGAUCUCUACGCAUUUCACCGCUCCACCCGGACUUCCAGGUCCCUCUCUGGCCCUCAAGAAGAGCCGUCUUUGGUAUCCUCUCGUAGUGAAGCCACGAGCUGUCACACCAAACGCACCCUCCCGCCUGCGGGCCCUUUACGCCCAGUAACUCCGGACAACGCUCGCCCCCUACGUCUUACCGCGGCUGCUGGCAC
rnacentral:rRNA from 1 species